rnacentral:lncRNA from 1 species
CUUCAUCUCCCGGCCGCCCGACUUCCUCCCCGCACAUUCCUGCACUCCGCCCGCCCGCGUUGCCCGCGCACCCGGUGCCCGAGCCCCCCGCUGGCCUCCCCCCGCCCCAGGCCCCCGGGGCUGGGCCUUGCCACGGUGACACCAGGAGGUGGCCCUGGGCUGGGGGCAGGGAGCUCCCUCCCGGCUGCACGGCCCUGACACCUGUCGGGCCACCUGUCGGGGGUGGCCAGGCCCCCCGGCGUCCCACCGCGGUGCUGCCUCUGCCCCCAGCCCCGCUGGCCCCCCGGAUGCCCGGCUGAGACCCGGCAGCGGCCCCACCUGCCCACGCCUCCGCCUGGCCCCUGGGGUCGGCGCUGCAGCGGGCAACUCCUCGGGCACCCGGCAGCUAACGGACGCGGCGGCCGGCCCGAGCAGCAGCGGCGACAUGGGCAGCGCCAGCCCGGGCCCG